UACGUAGGGUGCAAGCGUUGUCCGGAAUUAUUGGGCGUAAAGAGCUCGUAGGCGGUGUGUCGCGUCGGCCGUGAAAACCUGCGGCUCAACUGCAGGCUGGCGGUCGAUACGGGCAGGCUGGAGUUCGGUAGGGGAGACUGGAAUUCCUGGUGUAGCGGUGAAAUGCGCAGAUAUCAGGAGGAACACCGGUGGCGAAGGCGGGUCUCUGGGCCGAUACUGACGCUGAGGAGCGAAAGCGUGGGGAGCGAACAGG
rnacentral:rRNA from 1 species